rnacentral:sRNA from 1 species
UAAUAUUGAUGACGCAGUAUCCUAGUCGGUCGUAGCAAUUACCAGGGUGGGCCUAAAAAUCCACUAAAGGGCACAUCGAUGAAACUUCUUGUGUUUGCUUCUUACGCCCAGUUUGGGGUGGAUGCUGGAAGGUAGGGUGCCGGGCAGCCAUAACGGCAUAUGGUCAUGUUCCGUCAUCCGUGGAGACCUGCUCUCGUAAACCGAUUUUGUGUUUACGGUUCAGGAUUAAACCUGCAAUGCGGUCGAUUUCGCCUCGGCGAAACGAGGCUGUGUGCAGAGUAGCCUGUUUUGAGUGAGUAUGGCGGAUACGCUGUUCGGAACGGCUUUUCGUGGCCACGGGAAGUCCGCUCUCUGAGCGUUGAAAUCUUACUUGCAAAAGAAACUAAGAAUUGUUUUGCGGCCGUAGAGGAAAACUCCUAGGCUGAAUCGCGCUUAAAGGAUUGCAGUACGAUCUGAGUGGCAAUCAAGUCAUACAGGCGGCGACGCUGUAUCUUGCCCUUUAAAGGGAAACCGCUUUAUCGGCGACGAGAAGCAGGGCUCGGGGAAACCUACUUGACCUAAGUCGUAAGAUUUACUUUAAGCGCUGUCAUCAAUUUUUUAUA